GACGAACGCUGGCGGCGUGCUUAACACAUGCAAGUCGAACGGAAAGGCCCUGCUUUUGUGGGGUGCUCGAGUGGCGAACGGGUGAGUAACACGUGAGUAACCUGCCCUUGACUUUGGGAUAACUUCAGGAAACUGGGGCUAAUACCGGAUAGGAGCUCCUGCUGCAUGGUGGGGGUUGGAAAGUUUCGGCGGUUGGGGAUGGACUCGCGGCUUAUCAGCUUGUUGGUGGGGUAGUGGCUUACCAAGGCUUUGACGGGUAGCCGGCCUGAGAGGGUGACCGGCCACAUUGGGACUGAGAUGCGGCCAAGACUGCUACGGGAGGCAGCAGUGGGGAAUAUUGCACAAUGGGCGGAAGCCUGAUGCAGCAACGCCGCGUGCGGGAUGACGGCCUUCGGGGUGUAAACCGCGUUCGCCUGUGACGAAGCGUGAGUGACGGUAAUGGGUAAAGAAGCACCGGCUAACUACGUG
rnacentral:rRNA from 1 species